rnacentral:rRNA from 1 species
CCGCAUAACACCUACGGGUCAAAGGAGCAAUUCGCUUCAGGAGGGGGUCGCGGCCGAUUAGUUAGUUGGGGGGUAAUGGCCCACCAAGACAGUGAUCGGUACCCGGCUGAGAGGGCGCACGGACACACUGGAACUGAAACACGGGCCCAGACUCCUACGGGAGGCAGCAGUGGGGAAUUUUGCGCAAUGGGGGGAAACCCUGACGCAGCAACGCCGCGUGGAGGAUGAAAUCCCUUGGGACGUAAACUCCUUUCGACCAAGACGAUAAUGAACGGUACUGGUGGAAGAAGCACCGGCUAACUCUGUGCCAGCAGCCGCGGUAAUACAGAGGGUGCGAGCGUUGUUCGGAAUUAUUGGGCGUAAAGGGCGCGUAGGCGGCGCGGUA